rnacentral:rRNA from 1 species
UCGACCUGAGGUCAGGCAAGAACACCCGCUGA